UUAAGUGACGAUAGCCUAGGAGAUACACCUGUACCCAUGCCGAACACAGAAGUUAAGCCCUAGAACGCCGGAAGUAGUUGGGGGUUGCC
rnacentral:rRNA from 1 species